GCUAAACAGCUAGCUUAAACACCACAUUAAAUUAACAACAUAGAUAAAAUAACAAAACCUAAAAUUAUUAACCAAAUCAUUUUUCCACCUAAGUACGGGAGACGAAAAAGGUUCCACAAGCAAUAGAAAAAGUACCGCAAGGGAAAGCUGAAAGAGCAAUGAAAUAAGUCAUUUAAGCAUAAAAAAGCAGAGACUAAAACUCGUACCUUUUGCAUCAUGAUUUAGCAAGAAUAUACAGGCAAAGAGACCUUUAGUUUGUUACCCCGAAACCAAGUGAGCUACCCCGGGACAGCCUAAAAGGGCCAACCCGUCUCUGUGGCAAAAGAGUGGGAAGAGCCCCGGGUAGAGGUGACAGACCUACCGAACUUGGUGAUAGCUGGUUGCCUGAGAAAUGAAUAAAAGUUCAGCCUCGUGUCCCUUUAAUCAAAUGAGUAAUAUCCAAUUUAGAAAAUAAGAGAAGCAUGAGAGUUAGCUGAAGGGGGUACAGCCCCUUCAAUUAAGGAUACAACUUUUACAGGAGGAUAGGGAUUAUAAUUAUAAAAAUUUAUUGUUUCAGUGGGCCUAAAAGCAGCCAUCUGAACAGAAAGCGUUAAAGCUCAGACAAUGCGAAAUUUAUUAUUUCAAUAGCACAUCCCACUCCCCUAAGUAUAUCAGGCCGCUCCAUGACAACAUGGAAGAGAUUAUGCUAAAAUGAGUAACAAGAGACAAUAUUUCUCUCCUGGCAUAAGUGUAAGCCAGCCCGGAUAAGCCGCCGGCAAUUAACGAGCCCAAUAAAAGAGGGUAAUGUAACCAAUAUAAACCACAAGAAAAUCACACAGCCUCCAAUCGUUAACCCCACACUGGAAUGCCCUAAAGGAAAGACUAAAAGGGAGGGAAGGAACUCGGCAAAUACAAGCCUCGCCUGUUUACCAAAAACAUCGCCUCCUGCAAAACUCAAAGUAUAGGAGGUCCAGCCUGCCCAGUGACCACAAGUUCAACGGCCGCGGUAUUUUGACCGUGCAAAGGUAGCGCAAUCACUUGUCUUUUAAAUGAAGACCUGUAUGAAUGGCUAAACGAGGGCUUAGCUGUCUCCCCACCCAAGUCAGUGAAAUUGAUCUGCCCGUGCAGAAGCGGACAUAAAUAUACAAGACGAGAAGACCCUUUGGAGCUUAAGGUUCAAGUCCAACCGCGUUAAACAACUUACUUAAUAAGUAUAAAACCUAGCGGAUAAUGGAACUUUACCUUCGGUUGGGGCGACCACGGAGAAAAGCAUAUCCUCCGAGUGGAUUGGGAAAUAAACCUAAAACCAAGAAAGACAUUUCUAAGACACAGAAAAUCUGACCAAUAAUGAUCCGGCCUUACAGGCCGAUCAACGGACCAAGUUACCCUAGGGAUAACAGCGCAAUCCCCUCCCAGAGUCCAUAUCGACGAGGGGGUUUACGACCUCGAUGUUGGAUCAGGACAUCCUAAUGGUGCAAUUCAAAAGAGGAAUUGAGGUAAUUGGUCGGAAUGCUAGGCCUCGUUGCUUUGAUGUGUGAAGAAUGGGUACUACUAUCAGGACCAGGAUUGAAACAGUAGGGCUAGAACUCCUCCUAGUUUAUUAGGGAUUGAUCGAAGGAUAGCAUAAGCAAAUAGGAAGUAUCAUUCUGGCUUAAUAUGGGGAGGAGUCACUAGGGGAUGUUGCAGGAGUACAGUUGUCGGGAUGUUGGAUCAGGACAUCCCAAUGGUGCAGCCGCUAUUAAGGGUUCGUUUGUUCAACGAUUAAAGUCCUACGUGAUCUGAGUUCAGACCGGAGUAAUCCAGGUCAGUUUCUAUCUGUAAAGUCACUUUUCCUAGUACGAAAGGACCGGAAAAGGGAGGCCUAUACCAAAAGUACGCCUCACCCCUAAUUAAUGAACACAGCUUAAUUGAAUAAAUGGAGGACCUGUAAUUUAGGCAAAGAUAAUGCCAU
rnacentral:rRNA from 1 species